rnacentral:rRNA from 1 species
ACGGGAGGCAGCAGUGGGGAAUAUUGGGCAAUGGGCGAAAGCCUGACCCAGCGACGCCGCGUGAAGGAAGAAGGUCCUCGGAUUGUAAACUUCUUUUAUAUGGGACGAAACAAAUGACGGUACCAUAUGAAUAAGCCACGGCUAACUACGUGCCAGCAGCCGCAGUAAUACGUAGGUGGCGAGCGUUAUCCGGAUUUACUGGGUGUAAAGGGUGUGUAGGCGGGACUGCAAGUCAGAUGUGAAAACUAUGGGCUUAACUCAUAGCCUGCAUUUGAAACUGUGGUUCUUGAGGGUCGGAGGGGUUACUGGAAUUCCAUGUGUAGCGGUGAAAUGCGUAGAUAUAUGGAGGAACACCGGUGGCGAAAGCGGCUUACUGGACUGUAACUGACGUUGAGGCUCGAAAGCGUGGGGAGCAAACAGGAUUAGAUACCCUGGUA